rnacentral:rRNA from 1 species
AACGAACGCUGGCGGCAUGCCUAACACAUGCAAGUCGAACGUGAAGCCGGGGCUUGCUCCGGUGGAAAGUGGCGCACGGGUGAGUAACGCGUGGGUAACGUACCUAUUGGUUGGGGAUAA